CUCUCUCUGUCUUCCGGGACCCCUUCCCCCCUCCGCCACCCACCGAUGGUUCCAGAUUUUAUCGCCGAUCUUUCCCCAAAAGGGGGAAAUUAUUCUUCAUCUUCUCCCACCGGAGGAGAUUCUUCCCCUUCUCGUCCGGCCAGCCGCGAUUGGAUUGUCUUCUUCCUGUUCUUAUCGCCGGAUUUAGGAUUUUUUUUGUUUUUUUUUGGAUCUGUUUUUCUGUUCUCAGAUCGAAUGCCCUCUUUCGGCUCCUCGUGUUGAUCGAUCGUCUGCAGAGUUCGGAUCGGAUCGGCGGAGGGAGCAAAGAUGAUGUCCAGAUCGUAUACGAACCUUCUCGACCUGGCGUCGGGGAACUUCCCGCGGUGGGCGGCGGGGGCGGGAGGGCCGGGAAGCGGCUGCCGCGUGUGAUGACGGUGCCGGGAGUGGUGUCGGAGCUCGACGACGACCAGGCCAACAGCCUCGCCUCCGAUGUACCUUCCUCUCUCUCCCAAGAUCGAAUCAUCAUCGUCGCCAAUCUUCUCCCUGUCAAGGCCAGGCGGCGGGGGGACGACCGGGGAUGGAGCUUCUCCUGGGACGAGGAAUCCGUCCUCUUCCAGCUCAAGGACGGCUUCCCCGACGACAUGGAGGUCCUCUACGUCGGCUCCCUCUGCGUCGACGUCGAUCCCGGCGAGCAGGACGACGUCUCACAGAUCCUGUUGGAGCGAUUCAAGUGCGUUCCCGCUUUCCUCCCCGACGAUAUCUGCGGCAAGUUCUACAGCGGCUU
rnacentral:lncRNA from 1 species